GACGAACGCUGGCGGCGUGCUUAACACAUGCAAGUCGAACGGAAAGGCCCUGCUUUUGUGGGGUGCUCGAGUGGCGAACGGGUGAGUAACACGUGAGUAACCUGCCCUUGUCUUUGUGAUAACUUUAGGAAACUGGGGCUAAUACCGCAUAGGAGCUCCUGCUGCAUGGUGGGGGUUGGAAAGUUUCGGCGGUUGGGUAUGGACUCGCGGCUUAUCAGCUUGUUGGUGGGGUAGUGGCUUACCAAGGCUUUGACGGGUAGCCGGCCUGAGAGGGUGACCGGCAACAUUGGGACUGAGAUACGGCCCAGACUCCUACGGGAGGCAGCAGUGGGGAAUAUUGCACAAUGGGCGGAAGCCUGAUGCAGCAACGCCGCGUGCGGGAUGACGGCCUUCGGGUUGUAAACCGCUUUCGCCUGUGACGAAGCGUGAGUGACGGUAAUGGGUAAAGAAGCACCGGCUAACUACGUG
rnacentral:rRNA from 1 species